rnacentral:tRNA from 7 species
GCCCCGGGCCCGUCCCGCCCUGCCUCUGUCUGAUAUGUUUGAUAUUAGGUUGUUUGAUUGGAAACCAACUAAAUAUCAAACAUAUUCUUACAGCGGCAGGGCCUCCCAGCGCCGCGUGCC